GGAAUGCUAAUACCGCAUACGUCCUACGGGAGAAAGCAGGGGAUCUUCGGACCUUGCGCUAAUAGAUGAGCCUAAGUCGGAUUAGCUAGUUGGUGGGGUAAAGGCCUACCAAGGCGACGAUCUGUAGCGGGUCUGAGAGGAUGAUCCGCCACACUGGGACUGAGACACGGCCCAGACUCCUACGGGAGGCAGCAGUGGGGAAUAUUGGACAAUGGGGGGAACCCUGAUCCAGCCAUGCCGCGUGUGUGAAGAAGGCCUUAUGGUUGUAAAGCACUUUAAGCGAGGAGGAGGCUACUGAGACUAAUACUCUUGGAUAGUGGACGUUACUCGCAGAAUAAGCACCGGCUAACUCUGUGCCAGCAGCCGCGGUAAUACAGAGGGUGCGAGCGUUAAUCGGAUUUACUGGGCGUAAAGCGUGCGUAGGCGGCUUUUUAAGUCGGAUGUGAAAUCCCCGAGCUUAACUUGGGAAUUGCAUUCGAUACUGGGAAGCUAGAGUAUGGGAGAGGAUGGUAGAAUUCCAGGUGUAGCGGUGAAAUGCGUAGAGAUCUGGAGGAAUACCGAUGGCGAAGGCAGCCAUCUGGCCUAAUACUGACGCUGAGGUACGAAAGCAUGGGGAGCAAACAGGAUUAGAUACCCUGGUAGUCCAUGCCGUAAACGAUGUCUACUAGCCGUUGGGGCCU
rnacentral:rRNA from 1 species